rnacentral:rRNA from 1 species
GACGAACGCUGGCGGCGUGCUUAACACAUGCAAGUCGAACGGAAAGGCCCUGCUUUUGUGGGGUGCUCGAGUGGCGAACGGGUGAGUAACACGUGAGUAACCUGCCCUUGACUUUGGGAUAACUUCAGGAAACUGGGGCUAAUACCGGAUAGGAGCUCCUGCUGCAUGGUGGGGGAUGGAAAGUUUCGGCGGUUGGGGAUGGACUCGCGGCUUAUCAGCUUGUUGGUGGGGUAGUGGCUUACCAAGGCUCUGACGGGUAGCCGGCCUGAGAGGGUGACCGGCCACAUUGGGACUGAGAUACGGCCCAGACUGCUACGGGAGGCAGCAGUGGGGAAUAUUGCACAAUGGGCGGAGGCCUGAUGCAGCAACGCCGCGUGCGGGAUGACGGCCUUCGGGUAGUAAACCGCUUUCGCCUGUGACGAAGCGUGAGUAACGGUAAUGGGGAAAGAAGCACCGGCUAACUACGU